CAUGAGAAACCCAAAAGAUCGAAUGGGGAGAUUCAUCGUCAGCGCACUUCUAUACGUAUGGGUUAUGAUACGGGUUACUUUCGAGUAUUGUCUGUACAUACUUGUAUAUUUGGAGGUGUUAUCGGCGUGCACUUCUCCCCUAGUAGAACGUCGCGACCCGUUGGGUGUCGGUUUAUGGCCCGAGUGGUAGUCUUUAUUGUUAUUAACAUUAAAGCCCCUUGGUGACCGAAUCGACUGCCCGGCGGUACUCGUACGGUAUUUAGCCGCAUUAAUGCGUCUAUGUCUGCUGCAAGCGAGGUUAGUUUCUGGUAUACGGACCUAGUGCCGUCGCUGGAGCUCACCUUCUGUUGGUAGCAGAAUCUAAGACUGGCUCAUACAUACCGGUCUGCGAUGCUACUGCUU
rnacentral:rRNA from 1 species